UCUCUUGUCUUAAUUUUGUAAAUCCUCUCACCAUUUUCUUCCAGGGAUCACCGAGAGACCAAUAAAUCCCUACACUCUACAAUGUGCACCAU